UACGUAGGGGGCAAGCGUUGUCCGGAAUCAUUGGGCGUAAAGGGCGCGUAGGUGGCCCGGUGAGUCUUUGGUGAAAGCGCGGGGCUCAACCCUGCGUCGGCCAGGGAUACUGCCGCUGCUCGAGCACUGUAGAGGCAGGCGGAAUUCCGGGUGUAGCGGUGGAAUGCGUAGAGAUCCGGAAGAACACCGGUGGCGAAGGCGGCCUGCUGGGCAGUGGCUGACGCUGAGGCGCGACAGCGUGGGGAGCAAACAGG
rnacentral:rRNA from 1 species